CCGUGCUAUGCGGGGAGUUAGCGAUGCCCUGUUGUCCGCAAUUCGCUUAGCGGAGCAGAAUGCUGUUUUAGGCUUUACGUGUGGAAGGCUGGGUGCGAGAAGGAGCGUUGAUAUCAAGGUCUUAUGCAACGCACCACUGCGAACCGUGUCAGAGUAGGAAUACAGCAGCACUAAACAGACCGGUUGCGUGUGCCAUGAGGUUGCUUUGAAGGAGUACCCUGUCGCAUUAUCGCUUCGGCACGUACUGUCGAAAAAGAUGCACG
rnacentral:SRP_RNA from 1 species